rnacentral:rRNA from 1 species
CCUACGGGUGGCAGCAGUGAGGAAUAUUGGUCAAUGGGCGCAAGCCUGAACCAGCCAAGUCGCGUGAGGGAUGACGGUCCUAUGGAUUGUAAACCUCUUUUGUCGGGGAGCAAGGUCCGCCACGUGUGGGGGGAAGGAGAGUACCCGAAGAAAAAGCAUCGGCUAACUACGUGCCAGCAGCCGCGGUAAUACGGAGGAUGCGAGCGUUAUCCGGAUUUAUUGGGUUUAAAGGGUGCGUAGGCGGAAGGUUAAGUCAGCGGGAAAAUGUCGGUGCUCAACACCGGCAUGCCGUUGACACUGGUCGUCUUGAGUGAGCGAGAAGUAUGCGGAAUGCGGGGUGUAGCGGGGAAAUGCAUAGAUAUCACGCAGAACUCCGAUUGCGAAGGCAGCAUACCGGCGCUCAACUGACGCUGAGGCACGAAAGCGUGGGGAGCGAACAGGAUUAGAUACCCUGGUAGUC